rnacentral:rRNA from 1 species
AAACAUCGCCUCCUGCAGUAUAUAGGAGGUCCAGCCUGCCCAGUGACCAAGUUAAACGGCCGCGGUACCCUAACCGUGCGAAGGUAGCGCAAUCACUUGUUCUUUAAAUGAGGACUAGUAUGAAUGGCAUCACGAGGGUUACACUGUCUCCCACCUCUAAUCAGUGAAACUGAUCUCCCCGUGAAGAAGCGGGGAUAAAACUAUAAGACGAGAAGACCCCAUGGAGCUUCAAACCCGGCAUCAACCAUUAACAUUAAUACCACAUUAAAUAAAUGGACCUGACUGCUGGUUUUAGGUUGGGGUGACCGCGGAGCAUAACAAAACCUCCAUGAUGAACGACCUCCUCUCUAAUCCGAGAGCCACCACUCAAAGAAUCAAAAAAUUGACAUUUAUUGACCCAAACUAUUUUGAUCAACGAACCAAGUUACCCUGGGGAUAACAGCGCAAUCCAUUUCAAGAGCCCCUAUCGACAAAUGGGUUUACGACCUCGAUGUUGGAUCAGGGUAUCCUAGUGGUGCAGCCACUACUAAAGGUUCGUUUGUUCAACGAUUAAAACCCUACGUGAUCUGA